rnacentral:rRNA from 1 species
GAUGAACGCUGGCGGCGUGCCUAAUACAUGCAAGUCGAGCGAACAGAUGAGGAGCUUGCUCCUCUGACGUUAGCGGCGGACGGGUGAGUAACACGUGGAUAACCUACCUAUAAGACUGGGAUAACUUCGGGAAACCGGAGCUAAUACCGGAUAAUAUAUUGAACCGCAUGGUUUAAUAGUGAAAGACGGUUUUGCUGUCACUUAUAGAUGGAUCCGCGCCGCAUUAGCUAGUUGGUAAGGUAAAGGCUUACCAAGGCAACGAUGCGUAGCCGACCUGAGAGGGUGAUCGGCCACACUGGAACUGAGACACGGUCCAGACUCCUACGGGAGGCAGCAGUAGGGAAUCUUCCGCAAUGGGCGAAAGCCUGACGGAGCAACGCCGCGUGAGUGAUGAAGGUCUUCGGAUCGUAAAACUCUGUUAUUAGGGAAGAACAAAUGUGUAAGUAACUAUGCACGUCUUGACGGUACCUAAUCAGAAAGCCACGGCUAACUACGUG